GUUGAAUCCUCCAGUGGCCUUCCCUGCAAAUUUCUUUUCCAGCUAUAUUUAAUUAUGAAUUCAAUUUUGAAUAGUUGCAGAGAUAAUCACAUUACCUGGAUCAUAUUGGUGUAUUUCUUAGGAUUUUCUACAUUCAAGAUCAUCCAUCUGCAGACAGAAGCGGGUUUACUUAUUACCUUAUAGUCCAGGUGGAGAGAUCCAGGGUCUGGAAAGAAGCCGCCCAGGGGGACAGCAGGAACCAUCCUCGGGAGGCAGGAAACCCUGGCCACAGGCUGGAGAAGGGGAAGUGUCCUGAAGGAUGCUGCGUGCAGCUCGGUGACUGCGUGUUCUUGUUAAUCGCUGGACUCAUCAGAAUUCUAGCCACGGUGUUCUCAUCUGUCAGCCGCAGCUUUGAUUCUCUUUUGCAAUUAGAUUCGUAAAAGCCUCAAAAACACACUUGGACAUAGGCGUCCAUAGCCCUGAUGCUGAUGGCUGAUGACAAAUUGCAGAGCCCCUCCUUCCACAGGGCACUCUCAGGAGACGCGCUGUGCACCUGUAAUCUGCAGUCUGGUGACUUUGGCUGUUGGGAAGGACAAGUACAUGAAGACCUCCACCUGCCCCUUUGGUCCCUCUCACCAGCCACCGUACUGCCAUGUUCAAAGACAUUGGUGCCUGGAUCCCAUCUUAAAAACAUCCCCACCCCUGACUGAACCAGCAGGUGACUUAACACAAUCCCCACAUUGAAGCAAGUGACAUUUGUCAGCCUGCCAUGCCGAGAUCCUGGACCAGCCCAUUCUCGGCGGACACAACAUCUUUGUUGGUAUGUGGUGCUGAGGAUCGAACCCGGGCCGCAUGCAUGCCAGGUGAGCACGCUACCGCUUGAGCCACAUCUCCAGCCCCAGCAAUUGGGAUCUUAAGAUGGCUCUGUGUAGUGGCGGCUGCCCAAACUCCUGCAAGCACGAGUGCACCUUCCUUCACGGCAACGUAUGUGCGUUUCUGUCUCAUAAAACUCCAGCCUUCCCUUUGUUCUACAGACACACCGGAGGCCAUCCAAACCUAUGCAUGUGUCCCAGAUUGCAAUCCUACUCUUCGCUCGUUCCCAGAUACUAUUCCCUUCAUGGAAUCCUCUCUAUUUCUGUUUGGCUCUGGCAAGGCUACACCCAGAGCUCCAGCUUUGCUGAGACCUGUUUAGGUGCGAUGCAGUGACACUCUGUUUCCAAACCCCACAGCUGACGUCAAGUGCAAAAGGGGAUAUCUGUAGACAGAUGGCAGAGCAGAUAACAGCCACCUCUUAGGUUUCUUUAUUCAAUGUGGAUGAUCAUUUUCUUGGAGGAGCGCCCUGAAAUCCCCUCUGAGAGGCCCCUCAGAGUAAGGUCCUGGAAAUCACACUGGGUAUGCCCUGAGGUUCCCACGGCCUCCACCCACCUCUCCCCCUCCCACUGGGCCCGUAGUUACUGGAGUUGGCGGUACUGUGGCCCGGCCUCUGAUGGAGAAUUGGGUCUCCCCUGUCAGCUCAGUAGUGACCUGCAGCGUGGUGUCCUCAGGCCUCACCCUGACAUGUGGGUAGUCAAGGGACACAUGUGUGCUCAGGUGUGGCCGGAGGUGAUGCACACUAUGGACCCACGGGCACAGAGCUUCACAUGCCACAUGCCACACACAAAGUGUGCACACCAUACACCACCCAGCCCGCAGCAGCAGCGCCUGCAGUGGACUGAGCUGGAGCAUUCAGAACUUGUCCCUGUCUCUGAAGGAGCUGCAGGAGGACAAGGGGAAGGGCGGUGGCCUUGUCACCACCGUCUGGUUGCGUGAGAUGCCAGAUCUUAACGUUUGGUUCCUCUGGAGACUGAAAGGCUGGGCGCCAGGGACUCCACUCCUUCCUGACAGUGCUUGGCUGUGACUGAGCACUGAUGUCACCAGCACGGCCUCUGCAGGACAGUGAGCGUGUGGCCUCGACACAAGUGCUCAGCACAACGCCAGGCGGCUCUGUCAGUCCUGCACCUCCACUUACCUUCCUGUCGGCUUCCCCCCACUGUGUCAGGAGCCUGGGAACUGCAUCCUCCAUCCCUGCUGGGCUCACUGGCCUUGGAUGUAAGAUGGUCUGCAGGCAGCAGGCCCUCGUGGCCUCUGCCAUUAAUUGAGAAGGAGCUGGGGGAGCUAUGCUGCAGGUGGAGCCCUUGGAAGCAGAGGUUUCUUCCUUUGGACUUCACCCUGGCCAUGCACCAAUCCUCAAGAAGCCCGAAGUGGGAGAGUGGUGACAAAUGGCACCUGCUAGUGACUUUCCCUGGGAUGCCAAGCCCUGUACUUGGCAUCCCAGGGAAAGGGGGUGUGCGCUGAGCAGGUGUGAAAGGCAAGUGCCCAUUCCUGAAAGCCCAAGAAGAAGCCAGAGAGAUGCACCGUGCAGCAGACAUGCACCCCAGACCCACUCAGACGUGAAGAGGUGGGUUCACUUUAUUUUUCCUGCGCUGGAGCCAAAUGUCUUUUAGGAGCUCAAGUGGAAAAGGGGGUGGGCUCGAUCACAGGCAUUUAGCUCCUUUCUCCUCCAAGGCUGCAUCUCAGUUCCAGGAGGAUUUGCUUUAUCAUGUCAAAAUCAGUCUGAGAGGCUGGGAUGUGCUGCAGUAACAAGUAACCCCACUGUCUUCCCCUCACUCACACCUCGUGCCCCUCAGGGGUGUUCAGGAGCUCCGCCGCUUUAGGUGAAGAUGCAAUUCCCAAAUUCUGCACAUGAUCUUGGCGGCAGAGAGAAAGUG